AUACUCCACCCUACAUACUAGCCGCCCAACCUACCUACUAGCCGCCCAGCCUAAAAGAGACUUUCAACUCCCAACACACCUUUGCUUAAGGCAACUCCUCUGCCAACUCAAGAGAGAAUGCAGCCAAGUUCUCCUUCACUCAUAUUCCACCCAAAUUGUUUUCGCAAAGCCAAGUUCAUACAGGAGCAUUCAUCAAGUUCUUCCUCACCACAAAUCCAGCAAUCAAUCAACUUCAAAGUUUCAACAGAUUCAUUCUGAAAGGACCUACAGAAGAGGAUACUUAGUUUCCUGAUCAGCUCAGUUAAAUUAUUUGGAUUGUCUCCAAAUCAGGUGAGGCUUUAUUUACGAAAUGUAUGUUUGAGCUAAUAAGCUCGGUUUUAUGUAAGGUUAAAGUUGAUGGUUCAUGCUUAAAAUGUUUUUGCUCUCUAUUGGUUAUUGCUUCUACCAGAACAUUGUUGGCUCCGCCAACCAGAACAUUGUUAGCUCUGCUAACCAGAAUUGUGUACGUACACCAGAACCUGUUGUCUUGAGAGAUUCGAUGACAACCAGUUGUAGAUAGCACGCCCAAUAGAUGAGCAAGGAAAAUAUGAGCUCAGAUUAUUUUAGUAUGCAUGGAAUGACUCACUUUAAAAACAUUCUGUGUUAUACUGUUUAAGGCAUGAAUUAUCUUUUUCAGUAAAUGAUUUUUAAAAUGUUUUUAAAUGGCUCAACCCACUGAGUACACUAGUACUCAGCCCUGCAAUUGUUUUCAAAACCUUUUGCAGAUUGAGCAGCUGGUGGCGACGUGCGAGGCUGAGGAAGGGUUGUUGUUAUGGAUUUUGAAGAAAUGCUAUGUUUACUUCCGCUGAAAUAAAUUCACUUAGUGAAUAUUAUCUUAUGCCUAACUAUGUUAAUACUUUUAUUCAUAUUUUUAAUAUGAAUUUCACUCUCCAUCACUUUCUUAGCGAUUGUUUUCCGCAUCUAUCAUAUGUUUAGUAUGAGACGUUGUCUUGGUCUCAGACCUUCGAACUUUCGAUCCUGAUAGGGAGAAUAAUUAUGUUAUAAUGUCGUACUUGUUUUCAUUUAAAUACGGCAUAAUGCCCAACCCUCAGGGCACAUUACCUAUUUAAUUCAAGUAAAGCUUAGUAGUCCUGUCA